rnacentral:misc_RNA from 1 species
UCUCCGUUGGUGAACCGGCGGAGGGAUCAUUACCGAAGUUACCUUCAAAACCCACUGUGAACCUUACCUCUUGCCGCGUUGUCUCGGCGGCAGGCGGUGUGCGUCGCGCGCCCUAGCGGGCCGCGCCGCUCCCGUCCCCGCCGGCAGCGCCAAACUCUAGAUGCACAGCGGACUGUACGUUCUGAUUUACAAAAAAAAACAAGUUAAAACUUUCAACAACGGAUCUCUUGGUUCUG